UACCAGACUCCUACGGGAGGCAGCAGUGGGGAAUAUUGCACAAUGGGGGGAAACCCUGAUGCAGCAACGCCGCGUGGGUGAAGGAGCGUUUCGGCGCGUAAAGCCCUGUCAGCGGGGAAGAAGAAAGACGGUACCCGACCAAGAAGCCCCGGCUAACUACGUGCCAGCAGCCGCGGUAAUACGUAGGGGGCGAGCGUUAUCCGGAAUUACUGGGUGUAAAGGGAGCGUAGACGGCGAGGUGAGCCUGAAGUGGAAGCCCGCGGCCCAACCGCGGAACUGCUUUGGGAACUGUUUUGCUGGAGUAUGGGAGGGUGGCGGAAUUCCAGGUGUAGGAGUGAAAUCCGUAGAUAUCUGGAGGAACAUCAGUGGCGAAGGCGGCCACCUGGACCGGUAUUGACGCUGAGGCGCGAAAGCGUGGGGAGCAAACAGGAUUAGAUACCCGAGUA
rnacentral:rRNA from 1 species